GAGUUUGAUCAUGGCUCAGGAUGAACGCUGGCGGUAUGCCUAACACAUGCAAGUCGAACGGAAGUUUUUAAAACUUUAGUGGCGGACGGGUGAGUAACGCGUGAGAAUUUGCCUUUAGGAGGGGAGCAACAGUUAGAAAUGACUGCUAAUGCCCCAUAUGCUUUAAUAGUGAAAUGGAUUUAUCCGCCUGAAGAGAAGCUCGCGUCUGAUUAGCUAGUUGGUAAGGUAAUGGCUUACCAAGGCGACGAUCAGUAACUGGUUCGAGAGGAUGAUCAGUCACACUGGAACUGAGACACGGUCCAGACUCCUACGGGAGGCAGCAGUGGGGAAUUUUCUGCAAUGGGCGAAAGCCUGACAGAGCAAUACCGCGUGAGGGAUGAAGGCUCGUGGGUCGUAAACCUCUUUUUUCAAGGAGGAAUAAAUGACGUGUACUUGAAGAAUAAGCAUCGGCUAACUCCGUGCCAGCAGCCGCGGUAAGACGGAGGAUGCAAGUGUUAUCCGGAAUCACUGGGCGUAAAGCGUCUGUAGGUGGUUUAAUAAGUCUAUUGUUAAAGCUUGAGGCUUAACUUCAAAUCAGCAAUGGAAACUAUUAGACUUGAGUAUAGUAGAGGUAAAAGGAAUUUCCAGUGGAGCGGUGAAAUGCGUAGAUAUUGGAAAGAACACCGAUGGCGAAGGCAUUUUACUGGGCUAUAACUGACACUCAGAGACGAAAGCUAGGGUAGCAAAUGGGAUUAGAUACCCCAGUAGUCCUAGCAGUAAACAAUGGAUACUAGAUGUUGCCCGUAUCAACCCGUGCAGUAUCGAAGCUAACGCGUUAAGUAUCCCGCCUGGGAAGUAUGCUCGCAAGAGUGAAACUC
rnacentral:rRNA from 1 species